rnacentral:misc_RNA from 1 species
CCGAAGUUACCCUUCAAAACCCACUGUGAACCAUACCUCUUGCCGCGUUGUCUCGGCGGGAGGCGCGAGGCCCUAGCGGCCCCGCGUCCCCGCCGGCAGCGCCAAACUCUAAACUGCAAAGCGUACUGCAUGCUCUGAUUUACAAAAAAAACAAGUUA